rnacentral:lncRNA from 1 species
CUGUUACACUCCCUGUGUAUCUAUACUUGAUGUCAAUUUUAUAUUUCCCUGAAAUUAAAAUAAGCCUGACUUUUUUUGCUCUUAUUUCUUCCCAGAAGUAACACUGUUUUUCAAUGAUUUUUGCUGACUUGAGUGAAAAUGGUGGAGGAAAACUGCACCAUGGUAACAGAGUUCAUUCUUCUCGGCCUCUCAGAUGUCCCUGAGCUGAGACUCGUCCUCUUUCUGCUGUUCCUUCUCAUAUAUGGAGUCACCGCCUUGGCCAACCUGGGCAUGACGUCACUGAUUCAGAAUAUCUGGGUAUAUUUAAUAACAUGAGACACCCUAAUGGAUUGGUGUAACCAGAUUGAGCUCCUGCUAGGGACUAUGGAAACAAAAUGCCAAGCAUCCGCAGCCUUAUCUGCAGCACAGGAGCAGAUGCUGGGUAUACUUCCGUGACAGAAUGUCACUGAGCAGCCAAGGACCUGAACGCAGAGCCAAGUUGUGGUUAGCUUCAUAAAGAUUCAAUUAAUCUCUGAAAUGACAGAGGAGAGGUAUUUAAGAGAUGAUUACUAAAUAAAUAACUCCAGCUAC